CCUACGGGUGGCAGCAGUGGGGAAUAUUGCACAAUGGGGGAAACCCUGAUGCAGCGACGCCGCGUGAAGGAAGAAGUAUCUCGGUAUGUAAACUUCUAUCAGCAGGGAAGAAAAUGACGGUACCUGACUAAGAAGCACCGGCUAACUACGUGCCAGCAGCCGCGGUAAUACGUAGGGGGCAAGCGUUAUCCGGAUUUACUGGGUGUAAAGGGAGCGUAGGCGGGGCAGCAAGUCAGAAGUGAAACCCCGGGGCUCAACUCCGGGACUGCGUUUGAAACUGUGGACCUAGAGUGCAGGAGAGGUAUGUGGAAUGCCUGGUGUAGCGGUGAAAUGCGUAGAUAUUACGCAGAACACCAGUUGCGAAGGCAGCUUACUGGACUGUAAUUGACGCUGAGGCUCGAAAGCGUGGGGAGCAAACAGGAUUAGAUACCCGGGUAGUC
rnacentral:rRNA from 1 species